CUCUCUAAGCGGACGGGAGCCGCAGUGACCAGGUGGCUGGGACUGUUUAUUAAAAACACAGCACUGUGCAAAAUCGCAAGAUGACGUAUACGGUGUGACACCUGCCCGGUGCCGGAAGGUUAAUUGAUGGGGUUAGUUUUCGGACGAAGCUCUUGAUCGAAGCCCCGGUAAACGGCGGCCGUAACUAUAACGGUCCUAAGGUAGCGAAAUUCCUUGUCGGGUAAGUUCCGACCUGCACGAAUGGUGUAACCAUGGCCACGCUGUCUCCACCCGAGACUCAGUGAAAUUGAAAUCGCAGUGAAGAUGCUGUGUACCCGCGGCUAGACGGAAAGACCCCGUGAACCUUUACUACAGCUUGGCACUGAACAUUGAACCUACAUGUGUAGGAUAGGUGGGAGACUUUGAAGCAGCGACGCUAGUUGUUGUGGAGUCGUCCUUGAAAUACCACCCUUGUAGUUUUGAUGUUCUAACGUUGGCCCCUGAAUCGGGGUUACGGACAGUGCCUGGUGGGUAGUUUGACUGGGGCGGUCUCCUCCCAAAGAGUAACGGAGGAGCACGAAGGUUGGCUAAGUACGGUCGGACAUCGUACGGUUAGUGUAAUGGUAGAAGCCAGCUUAACUGCGAGACAGACACGUCGAGCAGGUACGAAAGUAGGUCAUAGUGAUCCGGUGGUUCUGAAUGGAAGGGCCAUCGCUCAACGGAUAAAAGGUACUCCGGGGAUAACAGGCUGAUACCGCCCAAGAGUUCAUAUCGACGGCGGUGUUUGGCACCUCGAUGUCGGCUCAUCACAUCCUGGGGCUGAAGUCGGUCCCAAGGGUAUGGCUGUUCGCCAUUUAAAGUGGUACGCGAGCUGGGUUUAGAACGUCGUGAGACAGUUCGGUCCCUAUCUGCCGUGGGCGUUUGAGAAUUGAGAGGGGUUGCUCCUAGUACGAGAGGACCGGAGUGAACGAACCGCUGGUGUUCGGGUUGUCAUGCCAAUGGCAUUGCCCGGUAGCUACGUUCGGAACUGAUAAGCGCUGAAAGCAUCUAAGCGCGAAGCAGGCCUCGAGAUGAUUUCUCACUAGACUUUUAAAGUCUCUGAAGGGCCGUUGAAGACUACAACGUUGAUAGGCAAGAUGUGGAAGUGGUGUGAGCCAUUAAGCUAACUUGUACUAAUUACCCGUGAGGCUUAACCAUACAACGCCAAACGCGUUUUG
rnacentral:rRNA from 1 species